rnacentral:tRNA from 1 species
GCGCUCGUGGCUCAAUUGGAUAGAGCAUCUGACUUCGGAUCAGAGGGUUGGGGGUUCGAGUCCCUCCGAGCGCGCAA